rnacentral:sRNA from 1 species
GCGCAUGCGCCGCGCUCGCUCGCGUUAGAGCAUGGCGGGGGCCGCGCCGGGCGCCAUCAUGGACGAGGACUACUACGGGAGCGCGGCCGAGUGGGGCGACGAGGCUGACGGCGGCCAGCAGGAGGAUGAUUCUGGAGAAGGAGAGGAUGAUGCAGAGGUUCAGCAAGAAUGCCUGCAUAAAUUUUCCACCCGGGAUUAUAUCAUGGAACCCUCCAUCUUCAACACUCUGAAGAGGUAUUUUCAGGCAGGAGGGUCUCCAGAGAAUGUUAUCCAGCUCUUAUCUGAAAACUACACCGCUGUGGCCCAGACUGUGAACCUGCUGGCCGAGUGGCUCAUUCAGACAGGUGUUGAGCCAGUGCAGGUUCAGGAAACUGUGGAAAAUCACUUGAAGAGUUUGCUGAUCAAACAUUUUGACCCCCGCAAAGCAGAUUCUAUUUUUACUGAAGAAGGAGAGGUGAGAAAUUGCUUUUCUUUGUCUAGUACCAGGCCCUAGGGUCUUUUGCAAAUUCCCUGUGUACAGUGGAGUGUGGCAUAUCAUGUAAGUAAUGGCAGAGUUGAGGACUAAAAUCAGAGUGUGAGACACAAGUUGCAUCUAGUCAGAAUUGC